rnacentral:tRNA from 1 species
GUUAUUUUGGCAGAAUAGUGCAAUUGAUUUAGAAUCAUUAAAUGAAAUAAAAAUUUUCAUAUAACA